CUUUUUAUAAACACAACACAUGUGAAAGCGUAUACAUCCUUAAAUAUAUAUUUUUAUAUGCUUUAAAAUGUUGAGAAGAAAAGGCCGAUUGUUCGACUUUUUCAAAAGAAGCUUCGUGAGCGAGGAGAAAAUUUUCGAUUAUUUAAAAAAAAAAACUGAACAAGUCAGCUUAAACGAACGAGCUAACUUAAACGAACGGGUCAGCUUAAACGAACGGGUCAGCUUAAACGGACGAGUCAGCUUAAACGAACAAGCUAACUAUGAUAAAAAACAAAAAUCCACGAACAUAAACGCAAGCACAAGCACUAACACAAACACUAACACAAACACUAACACAAACGACGGCAAAGAAGAAGAAAAAGAAAAAGUCGAAAUAAUAAACAUUGAUGAAAAGGUUUUUGAAAAUACGGGCGUUUUAAAAAACGAUAUAGAAGAACAAACUGGGUCAGCAAAAGAAGAUGGAUUUUACGAAAACAUGAAUAUUUUUCAAAAAAUGGAUAUUAAAAAGUUAUUAAAAGAAACAAUAGAUUAUUAUGGCUCGAAGCAGCUGACUGAAAAUAAGAAAAUAAAACCAAAAGAAGCAAGAGCAGAAAGAAGAACAGAAGCAGGAGCAGAAACAAGAACAGAAGCAGGAGCAGAAACAAGAACAGAAGAGUUAAAUAUAAAUAACUCAAAAAAAAAAAUAAAUUUAUCCAACAAUAUCAAAUUAAAUACUACGGAUGACACAUUACAUGACGGAUUACAUUAUAUAAAAAAUGAAAGUUGUGUUAAUAAAACAAAUAGCAUUUUUCAAAAUAUACAAGAAGGUACACAUUUGGGUAUGAGUACGAUUACAAAAAAGGAUACUGUUGUUAGUGACUAUGACAACUACAGAAACCACGACAAUCACAUACAUGACGACACAUGCGAAUUUUUAACUCCUGCACAACGGUUUUACGAAGAAAAUAAAGAAAAGCUAUUUUACGAAAGCAUGAAAUAUUAUAACAACAAAAAAAAAAAAGUUUUAAAUAAACAAGAUGGAGAAGAUAAUAUUUAUGAUGAAGAUUACUACUAUAUAAAUAACACAAAUCCGAUUGUUAGACCGAAAAAAAACUAUUUAUUUGAUUAUGAAAAUGAUGAAAACGAUUAUACAUAUGACCAUAUGUAUGGUCAUACUAACGACAAUAAUGAACGUGAUGAUAAUAUAGAACUAGAAAAAGGAAUAAUGCCAACUAUAGAACAAAUAAUAUGUAUAUUAAAAUAUGAAAAAGUUAAAAAUAUUAAAGUUAUAAAUUUAGAUGAAUGUGGUAGAAGAGAUGUAGGUAUGUUUCUAAUUUUAUGUACGGGGCAAACACCAAAACAUAAUAAAAAAGUUGGUAAACUAAUAAGUAAAAUAUUUAAAGAUUUAGAAAUACCAUAUAUAUCAAAUAUAGUAUACUGCUAUUGUAAUAAAGAAGAUGAAUGGGUUAUUACCCACUGUGGACCACUAAAAGUCCAUAUUAUUACUCAAGAGCUAAGAGAGUUAUAUGAUAUAGAAAAUUUAUUUUUAUAUCCACAUGAACAUUUUAAUAAUCAUAACUUUCCUUCCUUUUUUGAUUAUACACCUGGAGUACCUCCACCUUACAUUGUUCGAAGUAAUACGCCCGUGGAUUCUUAUCAAAGUGAUGAGUUAUAUCAGAAGUUUAUAUCGGACACGUGAAAAAAAAAAA
rnacentral:lncRNA from 1 species